AUUGAACGCUGGCGGCAGGCCUAACACAUGCAAGUCGAGCGAGCGGCGGACGGGUGAGUAACACGUGGGAAACUACCCAUCAGAGGGGGAUACCACUUGGACACAGGUGCUAAUACCACAUAUUGAUGGAUGGACCCGCGGUGCAUUAGCUAGUUGGUGAGGUAACGGCUCACCAAGGCCACGAUGCAUAGCCGGCCUGAUAGGGUUAUCGACAACACAUGGACUGAGACACGGCCCAUACUCCGACGGGAGGCAGCAGUGGGGAAUAUUGCACAAUGGGCGCAAGCCUGAUGCAGCCAUGCCGCGUGUAUGAAGAAGGCCUUAGGGUUGUAAAGUACUUUCAGCGGGGAGGCGUUACCCGCAGAAGAAGCCCCGGCUAACGCCGUGCCAGCAGCCGCGGUAAUUC
rnacentral:rRNA from 1 species